rnacentral:rRNA from 1 species
GCGACGAUCUGUAGCUGGUCUGAGAGGAUGAUCAGCCACACUGGGACUGAGACACGGCCCAGACUCCUACGGGAGGCAGCAGUGGGGAAUAUUGGACAAUGGGCGAAAGCCUGAUCCAGCCAUGCCGCGUGUGUGAAGAAGGCCUUUUGGUUGUAAAGCACUUUAAGUGGGGAGGAAAAGCUUAUGGUUAAUACCCAUAAGCCCUGACGUUACCCACAGAAUAAGCACCGGCUAACUCUGUGCCAGCAGCCGCGGUAAUACAGAGGGUGCAAGCGUUAAUCGGAAUUACUGGGCGUAAAGCGCGCGUAGGUGGUUAUUUAAGUCAGAUGUGAAAGCCCCGGGCUUAACCUGGGAACUGCAUCUGAUACUGGAUAACUAGAGUAGGUGAGAGGGGAGUAGAAUUCCAGGUGUAGCGGUGAAAUGCGUAGAGAUCUGGAGGAAUACCGAUGGCGAAGGCAGCUCCCUGGCAUCAUACUGACACUGAGGUGCGAAAGCGUGGGUAGCAAACAGGAUUAGAUACCCUGGUAGUCCACGCCGUAAACGAUGUCUACCAGUCGUUGGGUCUUUUAAAGACUUAGUGACGCAGUUAAC